UACGAAGGGGGCUAGCGUUGUUCGGAAUUACUGGGCGUAAAGGGCGCGUAGGCGGCGUGUCAAGUCAGGCGUGAAAGCCCCGGGCUCAACCUGGGAACCGCGCUUGAGACUGGCAUGCUCGAGUUCGGGAGAGGAUGGUAGAAUUCCCAGUGUAGAGGUGAAAUUCGUAGAUAUUGGGAAGAACACCGAUGGCGAAGGCAGCCAUCUGGACCGACACUGACGCUGAGGCGCGAAAGCGUGGGGAGCAAACAGG
rnacentral:rRNA from 1 species